AGCGGUCAUGACGACGUGCACCCGUAUUGAAAGUGUCUCACAUACACACAGAGAAACAUUGUGCGUGGUUGAAUAGGUACUGCGUCUUUCUAUCGCGUUAUUCUCGGUCGAGGUGAAGCAAUGAAGACGACAGAGAUGCGACCAACAGCACAUUGGCUACUGUUGUUCAUCUAUGCUGGACGAUGUUCAACGUAUGGACAGAGGGUUUUUAACGUUGACCAUAUUGAGAGACACAUUGUUGUGUCGGCAAAUGAUAACCAAACUUGGGGGUCAGAUGCUGCAUUGCGUUUUACAUCUGGUUAUGACGACCGUCAUAUUGUCUUGACAAUCAGUACUGAGUUCCAACU